rnacentral:rRNA from 1 species
AUUGAACGCUGGCGGCAGGCCUAACACAUGCAAGUCGAGCGGAGCGGCGGACGGGUGAGUAAUGCCUAGGAAUAUGCCUGGGAGUGGGGGAUAACGUCCGGAAACGGGCGCUAAUACAGCAUACUAUCAGAUGAGCCUAGGUCGGGUUAGCUAGUUGGUGGGGUAAAGGCCGACCAAGGCGACUAUCCGUAAGUGGGAUGAGAGGAUGAUCAGGCACACUGGAACUGUGACACGGUCCAGACUCCUACGGAAGUCAGCGUUGGGGAAUAUUGGAAAAUGGGCGAAAGCCUGAUACAGCCAUGCCGCGUGUGUGAAGAAGUUCUUCGGAUUGUAAAGCACUUUAAGUUUGGAGGCGUUACCAACAGAAUAAGCACCGGCUAACUUCGUGCCAGCAGCCGCGGUAAUUC